AAGGUUUCCGUAGGUGAACCUGCGGAAGGAUCAUUAUUGAAUGAACUUGGUGUGGUUGUCGCUGGCCCUCUUGGGGGCAUGUGCACACCUACCAUYCUCAUCUCUCCACCUGUGCACCUCUUGUAGAUUUGGAAUUGAUUAUCCGAGGCAACUCGGUCGUGAGGACUGCUAGCACUUAGCCRGCUUUCUUUGCAAUUCCAGGUCUAUGUUUUUCAUAUACCCCAUUGUAUGUAACAGAAUGUAUCAUUGGGCCCUUGUGCCUAUAAACCUUAUACAACUUUCAGCAACGGAUCUCUUGGCUCUCGCAUCGAUGAAGAACGCAGCGAAAUGCGAUAAGUAAUGUGAAUUGCAGAAUUCAGUGAAUCAUCGAAUCUUUGAACGCACCUUGCGCUCCUUGGUAUUCCGAGGAGCAUGCCUGUUUGAGUGUCAUUAAAUUCUCAACCAUUAUCAACUUUUGCUGAUAAUGGCUUGGAUGUGGGGGUCUAUUUUGCUGGCUUCUCAGAUAGUCAGCUCCCCUUAAAUGCAUUAGCCGGUGCCCCGCGUGGACUGUCUAUUGGUGUGAUAAUUAUCUACGCUAUAGACAUCYGCAAUCAUAUGGGUUUGCGCUGCUUCUAACAGUCUGUUGAUUCAGACAAUACAUGACAAUUUGACCUCAAAUCAGGUAGGACUACCCGCUGAACUUAA
rnacentral:rRNA from 1 species